GGUUUGGCAAGGAUGGGUUCUUCAGCCAUAAAGAGAUCACUGUACUGUUUGUUCCUGAUUUAUUUGACUGCCUGCCUUCAUUGGAUAUAUGGCGAGACCAGUGGCUUUCACACNNNNNNNNNNNNNUGUUGCUGAGAGAGUGCGUCAACUCUCAUUAAAAAAAGAGAGGUCUAGGGAGAAGAAGGAAGGGCUGAAAGGUAAAGGAACAGAUUCUUCAAAAGAUUCUAAAAGGGUCGACAAAUCGGAAACAACCAAAGAGUCUGCAUUCUCUGGUGUCAAUAAUAAGGAGAAAGAUGGGAAAGGUAAAAUGAUUGCAGAAAAGGGUGAUGACAAUGACAAGAACCUUGAGAAGAA
rnacentral:misc_RNA from 1 species